rnacentral:rRNA from 1 species
UGCAGUCGAACGAGAACGGGUCUAAGCUUGCUUAGAUUGUCAGCUAAGUGGCGCACGGGUGAGUAAUAUAUAGGUAACAUGCCUUCGAGAAGGGGAUAACGUUUGGAAACGAACGCUAAUACCCUAUAUGCCUUUAUCACAUAAGUGAGCAAGGGAAAUAUUUAUAGCUCGAAGAUUGGCCUGUACAGUAUCAGUUAGUUGGUGAGGUAAUGGCUCACCAAGACAAUGACGCUUAACUGGUUUGAGAGGAUGAUCAGUCACACUGGAACUGAGACACGGUCCAG